CUUGGAUGAGCUCUGCGAACAGUUCUGGCCGAUCGUCGCAGCUCACUGAUACCUUUAUUGCAAUAUUGUUCUUGUUGUUGUCUUCAACCAUGGUCUUUCACUUGAUCGAUUGCACUUCCCAACAGAGCUGCCUUGUCCAUCUGCCAUAGGAAAUAAGAAGAUGAGUCUGAACAUGUGCUGCAGAGUUUUCUCUUUGAGGUACAAAAAUAUGUUUCUUAAGAAGAUGAACUACUAUGCAACUUUAUCAGUCAACUUUUGUUAUAGCUAGAAGUUGAUUACUACAAUAAUCACAAAGGUAUGGACAAAGGUAUCCAUAUGAAACUCACUCCGAACAGAUAUUGUCUUUUUUAGAUUUUUUCUUCCAGACUUUUCCUCAAAAAUUUUAAAAUACGUUUUCUAGGGAGAGAUUUUCAUACCCUUAGAAAGAAUGUUUCGUUCUCCUCUCCAAUCGAGGUGGAAUCUCAUAGAAAUAAUCAUUUCUUGAACAUGUUUUUUAUCCCUAACUUACCACAGAAAACUUAAACUGAGUUGGUCAUCCAGUUGGAAAGAGAAAGGGCUAGAGAGGCAAGAGUACCUUAUCAGACUUGGGAAUGAGUUUUCUAAGAGUCGCCAGUUGAGCAUUGAUUCUGUCCCUACGUCUCUUUUCUGCUUGGCUAUGGCUCUUGGAAGCAGAAACUGCUCUAACGUCAGCAACCAUUCCUUCUGUUGAAGUUGAAAAUGAAGGAAACCCAUCAAACUGAACCUCAGUUGAGCUUGAAAGCUGAGGAUUGAUCAUAAAUGGAAGAAGCAGAGAAGGUUCACGGCUUGAAUUGCCAUUGCAAUGAGCCCAAUUUAUCCCCUCAGGCUUAGUAGAAGAAAAAUCCCAGUUCUUCUCCAUAACUGAUGAAAAGGAGAGGCAGGGCCAAUGUUUCUGAAGUCCGACUCAAAGUUUGGUUUUUAUGGUUGCAUCUGGAGAGCUACUGUUGAUUGCACUAGUAAUAAUGUGUGUGUGUGUGAUCUUCAAAUCUUGAUGGUGAUUGGUGUGAUGCCCAAUAGCCUUUAAUUUUUCAAAAUGAAAAUCAUAUAAGGCUAUAUUUGCCUGUCA